GUGUGCCCGGGGUUUAAAGUGCUCAGCACAGCUUGGCUUUGAUCGUAUGUAAAUAGUAUGGUGAAUAAGUGGUGGGUAAGACUGGUGCCAGCCGCCGCGGUAACACCAGCGCCACGAGUGGCAAUCGCGUUUAUUGGGCCUAAAGCGUCCGUAGCAGGUUUGUAAAUUUCUUGUGAAACUGCCAGGCCUAACUUGGCAAUGUGCAGGAAACACUGCAAAACUAGAGACCGGGAAGGGUCGGAAGUAUUCCUGAGGGAGCGGUAAAAUGCUAUAAUCUCAGGAGGACUACCGGUGGCGAAGGUGUCCGACUAGAACGGAUCUGACUGUGAGGGACGAAAGCUAGGGGAGCAAACCGGAUUAGAUACCCGAGUAGUCCUAGCUGUAAACGCUGUGAGCUAGGUGUCGCGUAUUCUACGGGAAUGCGCGGUGUCGUAAGGAAGCUACUAAGCUCACCGCCUGGGAAGUACGGUCGCAAGACUGAAACUUUAAGGAAUUGGCGGGGGCGCACCACAAGGGGUGCGGCGUGCGGUUUAAUCUAACUCAACACAGAGAACCUUACUAGGGGCGACGGCAAGAUGAAGGUCAUGCUGAAGACAUUACUCGAUGAGCCGAGAGGUGGUGCAUGGCCGUCGCCAGCUCGUGCUAUGAAGUGUCCAGUUAAGUCUGGCAACGAGCGAGACCUGUAUCUGCAAUUGCUAACAGCAUUACGGUGGACUGAGCACAUUGCAGGGACUGCCUUGGAAACAAGGAGGAAGGUGCAGGCUACGGUAGGUCUGUAUGCCCCGAAUCCCCUAGGCUACACGCGCGCAACAAUGGUAGACGACAUGGGAUGCAACUCUGAAAAGAGAAGCUAAACCUCUAAACCCUAUCCGAGUUCAGAUUGAGGUUGCAACUCACGCUCAUGACGUCGAUCCCUUAAACCAGGGG
rnacentral:rRNA from 1 species